GAUGAACGCUGGCGGUAUGCCUAACACAUUCAAGUCGUACGAGAGUUUUUAACUCUAGUGGCGGACGGGUGAGUAACACGUGAGAAUUUGCCUUUAGGAGGGGGACAACAAUUGGAAACGAAUGCUAAUACCCCAUAUGCUUUCGAGUGAAAUGGAUUUUAUCCGCCUAGAGAGAAGCUCGCGGCUGAUUAGCUUGUUGGUAAGGUAAGAGCCUACCAAGGCGACGAUCAGUAUCUGGUUUGAGAGGACGAUCAGACACACUGGAACUGAGACACGGUCCAGACUCCUACGGGAGGCAGCAGUGGGGAAUUUUCCGCAAUGGGCGAAAGCCUGACGGAGCAAUACCGCGUGAGGGAAGAAUGCCUAUGGUUGUAAACCUCUUUUUUCAGGGUAGGAAUAAAAUGACGUGUACCUGAAGAAUAAGCAUCGGCUAACUCCGUG
rnacentral:rRNA from 1 species